rnacentral:rRNA from 1 species
ACGAACGCUGGCGGCGUGCUUAACACAUGCAAGUCGCACGGAAAGGCCCUGCUUUUGUGGGGUGCUCGAGUGGCGAACGGGUGAGUAACACGUGAGUAACCUGCCCUUGACUUUGGGAUAACUUCAGGAAACUGGGGCUAAUACCGGAUAGGAGCCCCUGCUGCAUGGUGGGGGUUGGAAAGUUUCGGCGGUUGGGGAUGGACUCGCGGCUUAUCAGCUUGUUGGUGGGGUAGUGGCUUACCAAGGCUUUGACGGGUAGCCGGCCUGAGAGGGUGACCGGCCACAUUGGGACUGAGAUACGGCCCAGACUCCUACGGGAGGCAGCAGUGGGGAAUAUUGCACAAUGGGCGGAAGCCUGAUGCAGCAACGCCGCGUGCGGGAUGACGGCCUUCGGGUUGUAAACCGCUUUCGCCUGUGACGAAGCGUGAGUGACGGUAAUGGGUAAAGAAGCACCGGCUAACUACGUG